rnacentral:rRNA from 1 species
GACGAACGUUGGCGGCGUGCUUAAUACAUGCAAGUCGACUGAAGCAGCGGUAGCAUUAUCGCUCUGGAGGUGGCGCCCGGGUGGGUAACACGUAGGUAAUCUGCCUUCUGGUCUGGCAUAACUCCGGCGAACCGGCGCUACUAACAGCUGAUGCAGCGGCUCGCCAUCGAGACCAUUAUUGAAGCUCUGGCGCCCUAUGAUGUGCCUGCGUCUGAUUGGCUAGUUAGCGGGUUAACAAGCCACCAAGGCAACGAUCAGUAGCUGGGCUGAGAGGCUGAUCAGGAACACUGGAACGGAGACACGGCCCAGAGGCCUACGGGAGGCAGAAGUAAGGAAUAUUGCUCAAUGGGAGAAAUCCUGAAGCAGCAACGCCGCGGGAGGGACGAAGGGCUUUUGCUUGUAAACCUAUGUAGUGAGAGAAAAAAAUCCCAAUCUUUGGGACAUGAUGGUAUCCAAAAAGUAAGCCCCGGCUAACUACGUG